CGCAUCUGUGCAUGCAGCAUAUCAAUAAGCGGAGGAAAAGAAACUAACAAGGAUUCCCCUAGUAACGGCGAGUGAAGCGGGAAGAGCUCAAAUUUGAAAUCUUAAAGGGUUUCCCUUUACGAAUUGUAGUUUAAAGAAGUGUUUUCUGUUGAGGUUUUGGUAAAAGUUCUUUGGAAUAGGACAUCAUAGAGGGUGAGAAUCCCGUAUUUGACCUUUACUUUCAACUUUGUGAUACACUUUCAAAGAGUCGGAUUGUUUGGGAAUGCAGUCCAAAAUGGGUGGUAAAUUUCAUCUAAAGCUAAAUAUUGGCGAGAGACCGAUAGCGAACAAGUACCGUGAGGGAAAGAUGAAAAGAACUUUGAAAAGAGAGUUAAACAGUACGUGAAAUUGUCAAAAGGGAAGCGUUUGACACCAGUGUUGUUUUUCUGAAAAUCAAUUAAAGAACUGUUUAUGCUAAGCUGUUUAGACUUUAUCAGCUAUCUGCUUUAGUUUUGAGCUUUUCUUUAAUGCACUUUUCAGUUAACAAGUCAACAUCAAUUUCUUUUGCUGUAAAAAAGCUUGAGGAAGGUGGCUUGAGAUUCGUCUUAAGUGUUUAUAGCCUCUUGCCUAUGCAGUCGGAGAGAUUGAGGUCUGCAGCGUAGAUCCUUCGGGGCUAAAUGCAUUUGUGCUAAGUUAUAGCAUUUUAUAGACAACUUGUUGACUAUGAUUUGUCUUGUAGCUUACUCGCUUAUGUUAUUUUACCUACGCUUAGGAUGUUGAGUCGUAGAGCACGCAG
rnacentral:rRNA from 1 species